CACUGAGAAGCUUUUACAGCACUAGCCUUUUAAGCUAGAGAGGGAAAUAAAUUUCCCUCAGUGA
rnacentral:tRNA from 1 species